rnacentral:tRNA from 1 species
GCUAGAGUGGCAGAGACCGGUAAUUGCAUAAAAUUUAAGCUUUUAGUAUCAGAGGUUCAACUCCUCUCUCUAACA